rnacentral:rRNA from 1 species
AUAUCAAUAAGCGGAGGAAAAGAAACCAACAGGGAUUACCUCAGUAACGGCGAGUGAAGCGGUAACAGCUCAAAUUUGAAAUCUGGCUCUUUUAGGGUCCGAGUUGUAAUUUGUAGAAGAUGCUUCGAGUGUAGCUCCGGUCUAAGUUCCUUGGAACAGGACGUCAUAGAGGGUGAGAAUCCCGUAUGUGACUGGUAGCUUUCGCUCAUGUGAAGCUCUUUCGACGAGUCGAGUUGUUUGGGAAUGCAGCUCAAAAUGGGUGGUAAAUUUCAUCUAAAGCUAAAUAUUGGCCAGAGACCGAUAGCGCACAAGUA